rnacentral:tRNA from 1 species
GGCUUUAUAUUCAAUAAUGAUUUUAAGUUGCAAAUUUAAAGGUACUUUUUAGUUAAGGCUU